rnacentral:rRNA from 1 species
GUACGGGAGGCAGCAGUGGGGGAAUAUUGCGCAAUGGACGAAAGUCUGACGCAGCGACGCCGCGUGGAGGAUGAAGGUUUUCGGAUCGUAAACUCCUGUCAAGAGGGAAGAAACCUAUCAUGAAUAAUACUUAUGGUAAUUGACGGUACCUCUAGAGGAAGCACCGGCUAAUUCAGUGCCAGCAGCCGCGGUAAUACUGAAGGUGCAAGCGUUAAUCGGAAUCACUGGGCGUAAAGCGCUCGUAGGUGGCUUUGUAAGUCAGGUGUGAAAGCCCACGGCUCAACCGUGGAAUUGCACUUGAUACUGCAUCGCUAGAGUAUAGGAGAGGGAAGUGGAAUUUCUGGUGUAGGAGUGAAAUCCGUAGAGAUCAGAAGGAACACCCGUGGCGAAGGCGACUUCCUGGACUAUUACUGACACUGAGGAGCGAAAGCGUGGGGAGCAAACAGGAUUAGAUACCCCUGGUAG